UACGUAGGGGCAAGCGUUGUCCGGAAUCAUUGGGCGUAAAGCGCGUGUAGGCGGCUCGGUAAGUCCGCUCUGAAAGCCCGGGGCUCAACCCCGGGAGGCGGGUGGAUACUGCUGAGCUCGAGUCCGGAAGAGGAGUGUGGAAUUCCUGGUGUAGCGGUGAAAUGCGCAGAUAUCAGGAGGAACACCAAUGGCGAAGGCAGCACUCUGGGACGGUACUGACGCUGAGACGCGAAAGCGUGGGGAGCAAACAGG
rnacentral:rRNA from 1 species